rnacentral:tRNA from 1 species
UAGGGCUUAUAGUAUUUUGCUUACAACAAGAUCUUUUUGGCCUUAA